UUUGCUACUAAAAACAUUAUUGUGCAUCCUCACCCACCUUACUCUCCAGAUCUGGCACUGGGUGACUUCUGAGCCUUUGCCAAAGUCGAGAUGACCAUACGGUAAAUGUUUUGGAUCGAUUGAGGUGUUCAGGCAGACGCAACAGUCAACUCAAGACACUCUCAAAAGAAGACUUCCAGAACUGCUUCAGAGAACACCUGGAGGCAUGCACUGAACAUCUACCUCCUCCAGCGUGGUCUUAAACCUCUGGACAGACCUCUCUUGACAGUGCAUCAGUGCUUCUUAAAGCUCCCUAUGGCAAUGUCUCCAACAAUGCACAGCCGGAACAUCAGGCAUUACAUUGCGUGAGACGUGGAACAAUGCCUUGCCAAUGGUAUUUCAUUAAACCUUUGUAAAACUUAUGCAGGUUCCUCAGAAAAUAUGUUUAGAACUAAUGUCUAAUAUUUCAGUCCAAAG
rnacentral:lncRNA from 1 species